GAUGAACGCUGGCGGCGUGCCUAAUACAUGCAAGUCGAGCGAACGGACGAGAAGCUUGCUUCUCUGAUGUUAGCGGCGGACGGGUGAGUAACACGUGGAUAACCUACCUAUAAGACUGGGAUAACUUCGGGAAACCGGAGCUAAUACCGGAUGAUAUUUUGAACCGCAUGGUUCAAAAGUGAAAGACGGUCUUGCUGUCACUUAUAGAUGGAUCCGCGCUGCAUUAGCUAGUUGGUAAGGUAACGGCUUACCAAGGCAACGAUGCAUAGCCGACCUGAGGGUGAUCGGCCACACUGGAACUGAGACACGGUCCAGACUCCUACGGGAGGCAGCAGUAGGGAAUCUUCCGCAAUGGGCGAAAGCCUGACGGAGCAACGCCGCGUGAGUGAUGAAGGUCUUCGGAUCGUAAAACUCUGUUAUUAGGGAAGAACAUAUGUGUAAGUAACUGUGCACAUCUUGACGGUACCUAAUCAGAAAGCCACGGCUAACUACGUG
rnacentral:rRNA from 1 species